rnacentral:rRNA from 1 species
AGCGAACGUUAGCGGCGGGCCUAAUACAUGCAAGUCGAACGCGAACACCUUCGGGUUAGUAGAGUGGCGCACGGGUGAGUAACACGUAGGUAAUCUCCCCUCUGGCGGGGGACAACGUUUCGAAAGGAACGCUAAUACCGCGUAAGACCACAGUUUCUGCGGAAGCAGUGGGAAAAGGUGGCCUCUCCAUGGAAGCUACCGCCAGAGGAUGAGCCUGCGCCCCAUCAGCUAGUUGGUAAGGUAACGGCUUACCAUGGCGAAGACGGGUAGCUGGUCUGAGAGGAUGAUCAGCCACACUGGCACUGGAACACGGGCCAG